AUUGAACGCUGGCGGAAUGCUUUACACAUGCAAGUCGAACGGCAGCACGGGGGCAACCCUGGUGGCGAGUGGCGAACGGGUGAGUAAUACAUCGGAACGUGCCCAGUCGUGGGGGAUAACGUAGCGAAAGUUACGCUAAUACCGCAUACGAUCUAAGGAUGAAAGCGGGGGAUCGCAAGACCUCGCGCGAAUGGAGCGGCCGAUGUUAGAUUAGGUAGUUGGUGGGGUAAAGGCUCACCAAGCCGACGAUCUAUAGCUGGUCUGAGAGGAUGAUCAGCCACACUGGGACUGAGACACGGCCCAGACUCCUACGGGAGGCAGCAGUGGGGAAUUUUGGACAAUGGGCGCAAGCCUGAUCCAGCCAUUCCGCGUGCAGGAUGAAGGCCCUCGGGUUGUAAACUGCUUUUGUACAGAACGAAAAGCUCUGGGUUAAUACCCUGGGGUCAUGACGGUACUGUAAGAAUAAGCACCGGCUAACUACGUGCCAGCCGCCGCCGUAA
rnacentral:rRNA from 1 species